AUGUCCCCGUGGAGCGAGUUGGAGCUCAGGUCGAGCGUCCGCAGGAACGUGAGGUUCCCAAUAGCCGGGGAGAGUGCUCCAGCGAGCCCGGUGCCGUUCAAUCUCAGCGCAACCACCCGCGCAGGCGUGCGGUGGCUGCAUGUCACGCCUUCCCAGCUACAGAAGCUGGCGCUGCUGUUCCAGGAGGCCAGCGAGCAGCCAUGGCUUAGCUGCGCUUUGAAAGCAAGCAACGCAGCCUCGUCGCCGGUGGCGCUCACAGCACCGAUCAACAGGACGGCAACAAGUGAGCAGAGCAAGCUCAUGGCGAUGCGAUGA
rnacentral:rRNA from 1 species